rnacentral:rRNA from 1 species
AAGGGCUCCUUCGGGGGCCGAGUAGAGUGGCGCACGGGUGAGUAACACGUAGGUAAUUUGCCUUCGGGUGGGGAAUAACAGCCGGAAACGGCUGCUAAUACCGCAUAAUGCAGCGGCUCGACAUCGAGACAGUUGUUAAAGCGGGGGAUUCGCAAGAACCUCGCGCCUGAAGAGAAGCCUGCGGCAGAUUAGCUAGUUGGUAAGGUAAUGGCUUACCAAGGCGACGAUCUGUAACCGGCCUGAGAGGGCGGUCGGUCACACUGACACUGACAUACGGGUCAGACUCCUACGGGAGGCAGCAGUCGGGAAUUUUGGGCAAUGGGCGAAAGCCUGACCCAGCAACGCCGCGUGAAGGAUGAAAUUUUUCGGAAUGUAAACUUCGCAAGAACGGGAAGAAUAAGUGGGGGACAAUACCCCCCAUGAUGACGGUACCGUUUGUAAGCUCCGGCUAACUCCGUGCCAGCAGCCGCGGUAAUACGGGGGGAGCAAGCGUUGUUCGGAUUUACUGGGCGUAAAGGGCGCGUAGGCGGCGUGACAAGUCACUUGUGAAAUCUCCGGGCUUAACUCGGAACGGUCAAGUGAUACUGUCGUGCUAGAGUACAGAAGGGGCAACUGGAAUUCUCGGUGUAGCGGUGAAAUGCGUAGAUAUCGAGAGGAACACCUGCGGCGAAGGCGGGUUGCUGGGCUGAUACUGACGCUGAAGCGCGAAAGCCAGGGGAGCGA